rnacentral:tRNA from 2 species
GACCCUGUAGCUCAGAUGGUGAGAGCGCCGCCCUGUCACGGCGGAGGUCGCCGGUUCAAGUCCGGUCAGGGCCG